GAUGAACGCUGGCGGCAGGCUUAACACAUGCAAGUCGAGCGCCCCGCAAGGGGAGCGGCAGACGGGUGAGUAACGCGUGGGAAUCUACCAUCCCUACGGAAUAGCUCCGGGAAACUGGAAUUAAUACCGUAUACGCCCUACGGGGGAAAGAUUUAUCGGGGAUGGAUGAGCCCGCGUUGGAUUAGCUAGUUGGUGGGGUAAAGGCCUACCAAGGCGACGAUCCAUAGCUGGUCUGAGAGGAUGAUCAGCCACAUUGGGACUGAGACACGGCCCAAACUCCUACGGGAGGCAGCAGUGGGGAAUAUUGGACAAUGGGGGCAACCCUGAUCCAGCCAUGCCGCGUGAGUGAUGAAGGCCUUAGGGUUGUAAAGCUCUUUCACCGGGGAAGAUAAUGACGGUACCCGGAGAAGAAGCCCCGGCUAACUUCGUGCCAGCAGCCGCGGUAA
rnacentral:rRNA from 1 species